GAUGAAGAACGUAGCGAAAUGCGAUAAGUAAUGUGAAUUGAAGAAUUCAGUGAAUCAUCGAAUCUUUGAACGCACAUUGCGCCCGCCAGCAUUCUGGCGGGCAUGCCUGUUCGAGCGUCAUUUCAACCCUCGAGCCCCCCCGGGGGCCUCGGUGUUGGGGGACGGCACACCAGCCGCCCCCGAAAUGCAGUGGCGACCCCGCCGCAGCCUCCCCUGCGUAGUAGCACACACCUCGCACCGGAGCGCGGAGGCGGUCACGCCGUAAAACGCCCAACUUUCUUAGAGUUGACCUCGGAUCAGGUAGGAAUACCCGCUGAACUUAAGCAUAUCAAUAAGCGGAGGA
rnacentral:misc_RNA from 1 species